rnacentral:lncRNA from 1 species
UUCUUCUUGGUGCUUACCUGUUGCCACAGUAUUUACCUAAUUUUCAAUUAAUCGUCUAAAACUAGUAUUUCAUGGGCUGAGAAAUUGUAUAAAAUCAGUCAAGAGAGUCUUAUAUAAACUCUAUUCUUGUUUUGGUAAAUCAUAUUUUCUUAUAUUCACCAGGCUUAUGUAUCAGGAGUAUUAUUGUUUUCAUGUGAUAAGUAUUUUCAAUUUCUUUGUUAUUAUAAUUGAAUAAACCACAUUAAGGACAAUUUUCCUUUUAACAAUGCUUUGCCCAUUUGGGGUGUUAGAGACCUCAGUUUGAAAAAGUAUCUGUUUGCUGUUUAAUCAUGAGUUUGGUCCUCAAGGACACUCAUAAAAAAAUGUGAUCGAUAAGGCACAAUUGUGAUUUGGGGGCUGUGAAGGCAGAGAAAAGAGCAUCUCUGGGCCUCCUGGCUGCAGACUAAAUUUCCAUGUUCAUUGAGAGACUGUCUUAAGGGUAUAAUGUAGAGAGCUUAAGAACUGAGCAAAGAAAUCAUCCUCUAACCUCUGAUUACGUGUAUCCAAACACACAAACACACACACACACACACACACACACACACACACACACACAAACACAAGCACACAAAUACACAGCUUUUGAGGAUGCCUGAAACCUUCAUAAGCUCUCAUAUUUGCAUACACAUCUGCAAGCAUGCACAUUCUUACAAACAUGUGCAUAUAAAUACUCAAAUACAUGCAAAUAUGUUGCACAAUAGAAACUUAGGCACUUAAAAAAAAAUCUGCUCUCCUAACAUUGAGUCAUGUGCUUCUAAGUCGGUACAAGCCUGGAAUCACAGGUGUGCUGCUGAAUCUUCAGUGUGAAAGAACUGAAGUAUGAUGUCUAUGUGCUUAGUUUCCAGAGAGAACAAUGGUGAAGUGGCGCAGAAGACAAAACUAUAGUUUCCUAAAUCUGCACUGCGGGGCUAAUGCUGGAAAACAGCGCAUUCCAAAGGAGUUGUUUAGAAUCAAGUGCUGAUUUAGCUGGAUAAAAUGCAGCUGUCUUAUCAAAUUACACAACUGGAUUCACACCAUCGACUAAUUCCUGGUGGAAUUUUAAAGAUACCUUUAUGGGUGAUUUUCUUCCCAGUGCAGAGAUUCUUAAAUUAGACGGUUUU